UACGUAGGGUGCAAGCGUUGUCCGGAUUUAUUGGGCGUAAAGAGCUCGUAGGCGGUCUGUCGCGUCGGAUGUGAAAACCCAGGGCUCAACCCUGGGCCUGCAUUCGAUACGGGCAGACUAGAGUGUGGCAGGGGAGACUGGAAUUCCUGGUGUAGCGGUGAAAUGCGUAGAGAUCAGGAAGAACACCCGUGGCGAAGGCGGCCCACUGGGCCGGUGCUGACGCUGAGGCGCGAAGGCGUGGGGAGCGAACGGG
rnacentral:rRNA from 1 species